rnacentral:rRNA from 1 species
AACGACUCUCGGCAACGGAUAUCUCGGCUCUCGCAUCGAUGAAGAACGUAGCGAAAUGCGAUACUUGGUGUGAAUUGCAGAAUCCCGUGAACCAUCGAGUCUUUGAACGCAAGUUGCGCCCGAAGCCUUUUGGCCGAGGGCACGUCUGCCUGGGUGUCACGCAACGUCN